GGUGAGAUGGCCGAGCGGUCUAAGGCGCCAGCUUAAGGUUAAUCCAAUUCGCUGGUCCGAAAGGGCAGGGGUUCGAAUCCCCUUCUCAUCA
rnacentral:tRNA from 1 species